GAUGAACGCUAGCGGCAGGCUUAAUACAUGCAAGUCGAGGGGCAGCACGAAUAGCAAUAUUUGGUGGCGACCGGCGCACGGGUGCGUAACACGUAUACAACCUACCUAUAACAGGGGGAUAGCCUUUCGAAAGAGAGAUUAAUACCCCGUAAUAAAUUGAGUGGCAUCACUUGAUUUUGAAAGCUACGGCGGUUAUAGAUGGGUAUGCGUCUGAUUAGCUAGUUGGUGAGGUAACGGCUCACCAAGGCGACGAUCAGUAGGGGAUCUGAGAGGACUAACCCCCACACUGGUACUGAGACACGGACCAGACUCCUACGGGGGGCAGCAGUAAGGAAUAUUGGUCAAUGGAGGCAACUCUGAACCAGCCAUGCCGCGUGCAGGAUGACGGCCCUAUGGGGUUGUAAACUGCUUUUGUACCAGAGAAAACCUACUCACGUGUGAGUAGCUGAUAGUAUGGUAAGAAUAAGCAUCGGCUAACUUCGUGCCAGCAGCCG
rnacentral:rRNA from 1 species